rnacentral:lncRNA from 1 species
UAAAGUAGUGAGAUCAUGAAUCUUCGGUCCGACGAACAAUAGUGACGGAUGACACCGGAAUCAAAUCAAACACGGAAGGAAAAACAGGACACUUUGAGAUCUGAUUUUUCCAACAAAAAUCAAUAGCUAAAUCAUGAAAAUCUCAGUCUAAAAUUCAAGAAGAAAUCAAGGAGAAAAUUUCUUAAGAGACUGAUGCAACCUAUAGCGCAGUGAUCAUUGGGAAAGA